rnacentral:rRNA from 1 species
CCUACGGGUGGCCGCAGUGAGGAAUAUUGGUCAAUGGACGAGAGUCUGAACCAGCCAAGUAGCGUGAAGGAUGACUGCCCUAUGGGUUGUAAACUUCUUUUAUAUGGGAAUAAAAUGUUCCACGUGUGGGAUUUUGUAUGUACCAUAUGAAUAAGGAUCGGCUAACUCCGUGCCAGCAGCCGCGGUAAUAAGGAGGAUCCAUGCGUUAUCCGGAUUUAUUGGGUUUAAAGGGAGCGUAGGUGGAUUGUUAAGUCAGUUGUGAAAGUUUUCGGCUCAACCGUAAAAUUGCAGUUGAAACUGGCAGUCUUGAGUACAGUAGAGGUGGGCGGAAUUCGUGGUGUAGCGGUGAAAUGCUUAGAUAUCACGAAGAACUCCGAUUGCGAAGGCAGUUCACUGGACUGCAACUGACACUGAGGCUCGAAAGUGUGGGUAUCAAACAGGAUUAGAUACCCGGGUAGUC